AACUUCAGUAUUGUUAGUGAUUCUAAAAUAUUUGUUUAUCAAUAUUCUUACUGGUUCCGCCUUAUCAUUAUUGUUUUGAAAGAGAAAGAAGAUUUGUAUUGGAUUAUCAAGUCAUUAUCUUCUCGGAAUUUUUGAAUGCCUUCAAUUCCCUUUGUUCUGAUAACAAAUUGACACUGUUUUCCAGACCACAUCAAAUGGCAAGAUUCGAGUUCGUGUAUGUCUUUAACUCCUUAUUUAAUGUAAUUGCAUUCGGUACAAGCAACUCCGACAUCAGGUUCGGUUGGCGACACAAUAGUGCAA
rnacentral:lncRNA from 1 species